rnacentral:tRNA from 1 species
GGUUGUGUAGCUCCGUAGUUAGAGCUUAGGUAUCGUAACCGGAAGGUCGCGGGAUCGAAUCCCGCUAGAGGCA